rnacentral:misc_RNA from 1 species
UGGGGAGCAGGGUGGCAGGGUUG